GACGAACGCUGGCGGCAUGCUUAACACAUGCAAGUCGAACGGGAAGUCCCUGUUCUUGUGGGGUGCUCGAGUGGCGAACGGGUGAAUAACCCGUGAGUAGCCGGACCUCGACUGGGGGAUAACGUUAGGAAACCGUAGGUAAUAGCGGAUAGGAGCUCCUGCUGCAUGGGGGGGGCUGGAGUGUUUCUGCGGGUGGGGAUGGGCACGCGUCUGCUCAGCUUGUUGGUGGGGUAAGGGCUUAGCAAGGUGAUGGCCAGUAGCGGGCCCGAGAGGAUGACCGGCCACACUGGGACGGAGACGCGGCGCAGACUCCUGCGGGAGGCAGCGGGGAAGAAUGUUCCGCAAUGGGCGAAAUGAUGAAGGAGCAAUGCGUCCUGGAGGUCGAAGGCCUACGUGUCGUCAACUUCUGUUCUCGGAGAAGAAACAAUGACGGUAACUGAUGAAUAAGCACCGGCUAACUAUGUG
rnacentral:rRNA from 1 species